rnacentral:lncRNA from 10 species
CAAUCUGGGGGUCUCAGUAGUCCCACAAGCUUAAUACAAAGCAAGACUUCUGAUUGUGGAAAAACGCAACAGCGAUUAAGCUGCAUGAAGAGGAGCAGUAGGGCCUUGGCCUCGGGACACUGUUUACAAAAACAGGCAGUGGACCAGAUUUGUCCUGGGAGGGGCUGGAGUUUUCAGAACCCUGGCCUAGAGCCAGUCUGGGCAUUGGAUGGAGAACCCUUCAGGAUCCUUGGAACCGUGGAGUUCUAGGAUUUCCUGGAUAGAGAUUUUGGUGUCGGUGUGCUCAA